rnacentral:rRNA from 1 species
UACGGAGGGUGCGAGCGUUGUCCGGAAUCACUGGGCGUAAAGGGCGCGUAGGCGGCGCGGGUAGUCGUCGGUGAAAGCUCAGGGCUCAACCCUGAGUCGGCCGGUGAUACUCCCGUGCUCGAGCACUGUAGAGGCAGGUGGAAUUCCGGGUGUAGCGGUGGAAUGCGCAGAUAUCAGGAGGAACACCGAUAGCGAAGGCAGCUCGCUGGGACGGUACUGACGCUGAGGUGCGAAAGCGUGGGGAGCAAACAGG